AACGAACGCUGGCGGCUUGCCUAACACAUGCAAGUCGAACGAGACCUUCGGGUCUAGUUGCGCACGGGUGCGUAACGCGUGGGAACCUUCCCUUAGGUUCGGAAUAACUCCCCGAAAGGGGUGCUAAUACCGGAUAAUGUCUUCUGACCAAAGAUUUAUCGCCUUUGGAUGGGCCCGCGUUGGAUUAGCUAGUUGGUAGGGUAAAAGCCUACCAAGGCGACGAUCCAUAGCUGGUCUGAGAGGAUGAUCAGCCACACUGGGACUGGGACACGGCCCAGACUCCCACGGGAGGCAGCAAUGGGGAAUAUUGGACAAUGGGCGAAAGCAUGAUCCCGUCAUGCCGCGUGAGUGAUGAAGGCCUUAGGGUUGUAAAGCUCUUUUACCCGGGAUGAUAAUGACAGUACCGGGAGAAUAAGCUCCGGCUAACUCCGUG
rnacentral:rRNA from 1 species